GUGCUUGCUUCGGCAGCACAUAUACUAAAAUUGGAAUGGUACAGAGAAGAUUAGCAUGUGCAAGAAUGACACACAAAUUCAUGAAGUGUUCCAUAUUAAA
rnacentral:snRNA from 1 species